rnacentral:lncRNA from 1 species
GGUGAAUCGAAUCCGAAGCCAGUAGAGGCACCAUUAAGGAGAUCCGGUAGAGUAUCACGUCAGUCGGAUAGAUACUAUGGUUUCCUAAUCCGAGAUGGUAAUCCUAUUGAAAAGGCUCGACUUUCAAAAAUAGUUUGAGGACAUGAAGUCCGAGAUGGAGUCCAUGGAGAUCAAUAGUAUCUGGACACUAGUUGAUCCGCCCGAAGGGA